CAGAAAAUAGUAUAUAAAAUAUGUAAAUUUUGGGUAUUUAUGAUGAAAAAAUCUUUUCUGA
rnacentral:tRNA from 1 species